rnacentral:lncRNA from 1 species
UCCACUUUCUGGUGCAACUCGACUUCCAGAACAAGCGCUCCGUAGUUUUGGCUGUCCAGUAUUCGAGUUAUAGAACGAGGUGGUUGGCGGUGGUUGGAAGUAGAUGGAGGUAGACGAGAAGGAGGACGAGAAGGACAAGGAUUUGUGCUCAGUAUGACCCGAGGUGGUUGGCAGUGUCGUUGGAGGUGGUUAGAGGUGGUCGCAGGUGGAGGAGGAAAAGGAGGAUUUGUGCUCGGUGGUUAGCAGUAGUCGUUGG